rnacentral:misc_RNA from 1 species
GCAAACUUGGUCAUUUAGAGGAAGUAAAAGUCGUAACAAGGUUUCCGUAGGUGAACCUGCGGAAGGAUCAUUAAUAAUUAUCCUCAAAUCAUGGAUAAUUUUAUCCAUAUCCACCUUGUGUGAAUCAUUGAUUUGUCUGUUGGCAGGCUAACACUUUCUAUAAUGGAUAGCUGUGUGGUUGGCAUUGGAAGUUUUUCCAUGCAUGUGCGACCAGCCUGCCAAUUUUAUUUUUGUAAAACUUGUCUAAAUACUGUGGUCUGAAAUAUAUAUUGUGUAUAACAAUACAACUUUCAACAACGGAUCUCUUGGCUCUCGCAUCGAUGAAGAACGCAGC